GAUGAACGCUGGCGGCGUGCUUAACACAUGCAAGUCGAACGCUGAAGCUCCCAGCUUGCUGGGGGUGGAUGAGUGGCGAACGGGUGAGUAUCACGUGAGGAACCUGCCCUGAACUGUGGGAUAAGCCUGGGAAACUGGGUCUAAUACUACAUAGGACGCUCCAUCGCAUGGUGGGGUGUGGAAAGCUUUUGCGGUUUGGGAUGGUCUCGCGGCCUAUCAGCUUGUUGGUGGGGUAAUGGCCUACCAAGGCUUUGACGGGUAGCCGGCCUGAGAGGGUGACCGGCCACACUGGGACUGAGACACGGCCCAGACUCCUACGGGAGGCAGCAGUGGGGGAUAUUGCACAAUGGGGGAAACCCUGAUGCAGCGACGCCGCGUGAGGGAUGACGGCCUUCGGGUUGUAAACCUCUUUCAGUUGGGAAGAAGCCCCUUUUUGGGGUGACGGUACCUUCAGAAGAAGCACCGGCUAACUACGUGCCAGCAGCCGCGGUAAUACGUAGGGUGCGAGCGUUAUCCGGAAUUAUUGGGCGUAAAGAGCUCGUAGGCGGUUUGUCGCGUCUGCUGUGAAAGCCCAGGGCUUAAUCCUGGGUUUGCAGUGGGUACGGGCAGGCUGGAGUGCAGUAGGGGAGACUGGAAUUCCUGGUGUAGCGGUGAAAUGCGCAGAUAUCAGGAGGAACACCGAUGGCGAAGGCAGGUCUCUGGGCUGUUACUGACGCUGAGGAGCGAAAGCAUGGGGAGCGAACAGG
rnacentral:rRNA from 1 species